UGAAGUAUAAAAGCAAUGCCCAGCCAUCAGUUGCAUCGAAAAGACAUUGAAGUACUCUAUAAAACGUAAAUAUGGCGAUAUUGAAACACGCUACGUGUCUGCUACUGCUGUUGGCCUUCCUUAGCUUAGUACUGGGUCAAACGGCUCAAGGAGGACCCCAUAUAUCUCAGGGCGGUCCUCACGAAUCGCAAGGAGGAUCCCAUGAAUCUCAAGGAGGCGCACACGAAGAUCAGGGCCGGGUUAAGAGACAGGCCGAACAAGAUAGCGACGAAGACUCAGGAGUUGUGAGCUGGACUACUUGCGAUCAAACUACGACGCCGAAACAUUCUUGCCAAGACUGCAACACUCGUCUACUCUGUCUACCGAUUGGUGGAAAAGUGAUCACUUGUCCUAGUGUGAAUAGGCCCUUCUGCAACAAUGGUCGCUGUUCCGCUAUUCCUAGCGCAGGCUGUGCUUAAGCUGUGUUUGUAAUGUUUCCAACGCUAGGGCUUGAGAUAUUCGUUGAUGAGUUUAUACCGAGUGCAGUGUUCAUUGCAGCCAUUCAAAGCCGAAGUACCUUAGACAGUAUAGGCAUAAUUUGCAAACAAUUCUCUUAGCAGUUAUAUAUAUUUACGAAUAUUUUGUCUUGCUGACCGGCUACGUGUUAUUAAUUAUUUUAUAAUACUCGUAGACUGAACAAACAAAGGUUUUAUUGAAAAUUAAAGCAUUCACUCAUUAUUAUUUUAUUUAUCACGCUUGCACUAUAACAAAGAAAGCGAGUAUCUCAGCUAAUCUGCUACUGAUAAAUUUAAUUCGUUGGACCGCUAAAGUACCUAUAUCUUUCGAAUACAUGUAAUUUAACAUUAGUUUAGAGUAGUGCAUAAUUAUAUUGUUUUAUUUAAAGUUAUACUGUAUUUAGUUCAUUGAUUCGUGUAAUAUUUAAUAAAAUAUAAUAAAAACGGUCAUUUUGAAAAUAUUGGUUUCAACAUUACUGACAGUUAGGGCCUGUUUACAGAUUGAUAAGUGUUUAGUGCGAGUUCAUACAUUUGCUACUUGCGUUUGGUAACACACAGUAAUUUGUGCGGAAAAAGAAGGGUCGUGAAAUGUAUGUGGCCCAAUAUACAUUCCACGACUUCUCUUUCCGAACAGACUCUAUAAAAUGUAUGAACUCGCACUUAACGUCCACCACUACUCUAUUGAGCAUGGUGUUCGCCGUCACACUUAUUUAGUAUCACAAAUUAAAUAAUUUAAAUUAAUUUGUACACAUGAUACGUCUGUCAUGUCAUGUCUAGCAUAUCUAGACACAAGUCGCGCGACUUUACAUGUGGAGCCGUGGCCCUUCCAAUCGCGGCAAGACGUGCUAGACGUGUAGUCAAUAGAAAUAAAACAACAAAAAGAAGUCAAACAGGAUCCCCGCUCAACAAUUUACCCCAGCAAGCAAAAGCUGGUUUUCAGUGGAUCGAAGUUAAAACUAAAGGAAGAUGAGGGUAUAAAUACAUUAUUGUUGACUGUGUGUUAUAAGAGUAUCUUAAAAUCGUAUAAACCGUACUUAUAAUAUACAUCAACGAGUAUUAUUUUCGUCGCAUGAGACACUGAAACGACAGUGGAAAGAAUCCAAUUAAGGCCGUUGUUACAUUUGCAAGAGUCAGAUAUUGCGCAGUAAUGGGAAUUCUUCUCCGGCAUUGUACGCGGCGCUGACAGCUAGACCCGUGUCCCGUGUCAGACAGGACUAGCGAUGUGCCGGUCUCGAAAUUUUUCCGAGAACAGAGAACACACGUUCUCGGAAACGUUCUCUCAGACGGAAAUUGUGGAGAAAGUACUUUUUAAACAAAAAAAAUAAUUUUGUUAUUUAUUGUGUUCUCAAAAUAAGCAUCACUGAUUAUGUUAUUUUAUUUUAUGUGCUGGAAAAGUGUAAACAUGAAAUUCCCUCUGGAAAUUUCCGGCGAAUAUUCUCGGAAACGUUCUCCGGACAUCAUUCGUAUAAAAAAUAUUGUCAUUAUUGGGUUUCAGGCAGGUAAACAAAACACAUUCAAUAUUCAAAAAACGUAUAUAUAUGUACAUAUUGAUCGUAGAUAAUAAUCAGAAAUUAUCUAACAUACUUCGUAUAUAUUAAUAUAUCAUAUAAAGGUUGUACUGGCUAAUUAAUUUUUAUAUAACAUACAUAACUUAUAGCAAUUAUUACAAAUAAAGAUAUUAUGAUUAGAUUAGAUUAUGUUCUUAGAUCUACUAACUGAUAUGGUUUUUGAUCGUUCGACUGUAUAAUUUUUAUGAAAUUUAACUUUUAUACAACAUUAAAUUAUCUACACUGA